UACGUAGGGUGCAAGCGUUUGUCCGGAAUUAUUGGGCGUAAAGAGCUCGUAGGCGGUUCGUCGCGUCUGCUGUGAAAACCCGAGGCUCAACCUCGGGCCUGCAGUGGGUACGGGCAGACUAGAGUGCGGUAGGGGAGAUUGGAAUUCCUGGUGUAGCGGUGGAAUGCGCAGAUAUCAGGAGGAACACCAAUGGCGAAGGCAGAUCUCUGGGCCGUAACUGACGCUGAGGAGCGAAAGCAUGGGGAGCGGACAGG
rnacentral:rRNA from 1 species